UCUGCAUGGCUUUGCAGCUUAUCAAUUCGGCUUAAAGUCAGAGGAAGAUCAACACUUGAUUUGAUGCUAAGAAUAGUAGCACUCUUCUCCGUCUAUUUUGGCUUUACAUUAUAUUUAAGGAGUGGAAGGAUUCCCCUUCUUGGUCGAAAAGGUUGCUAAAGAAGUUGAAAUUCAUUUUCUUUGAGGAUUCAGAGGAUCCCUUUUCGUCUUUGAAAGACAGAUUCACGGAUUAUGUGAAAAAUCGUAGCAUCCUACUACUCUAAGGAUGCUUGCAAAAUUAAUGUUCCUCUU